rnacentral:rRNA from 1 species
UACGCAGGGGGCUAGCGUUGCUCGGAAUCACUGGGCGUAAAGCGCACGUAGGCGGCUUGCUAAGUCAGGGGUGAAAUCCUGGAGCUCAACUCCAGAACUGCCUUUGAUACUGGCGAUCUUGAGUCCGGGAGAGGUGAGUGGAACUGCGAGUGUAGAGGUGAAAUUCGUAGAUAUUCGCAAGAACACCAGUGGCGAAGGCGGCUCACUGGCCCGGUACUGACGCUGAGGUGCGAAAGCGUGGGGAGCAAACAGG